rnacentral:rRNA from 1 species
GCCAGACUCCUACGGGAGGCAGCAGUGGGGAAUAUUGCACAAUGGGGGGAACCCUGAUGCAGCGACGCCGCGUGAGUGAAGAAGUAUUACGGUAUGUAAAGCUCUAUCAGCAGGGAAGAAAAUGACGGUACCUGACUAAGAAGCCCCGGCUAACUACGUGCCAGCAGCCGCGGUAAUACGUAGGGGGCAAGCGUUAUCCGGAUUUACUGGGUGUAAAGGGAGCGUAGACGGCAUGGCAAGUCAGAUGUGAAAGCCCGGGGCUCAACCCCGGGACUGCAUUUGAAACUGUCAGGCUGGAGUGCAGGAGAGGUAAGUGGAAUUCCUAGUGUAGCGGUGAAAUGCGUAGAUAUUAGGAAGAACACCAGUGGCGAAGGCGGCUUUCUGGACUGAAACUGACGCUGAGGCACGAAAGCGUGGGGAGCGAACAGGAUUAGAUACCCGGGUAC